GGAAGACGAAAAAGAAAUAUACUUUAUCGAUGGCAGACGGGUAAAUAACUCAGAAGCUCGCCAGAAGUUCGUUUUUCCCUCCUUUCCAGCUUUCCAUUGUAACAUGCUUUUCAGAGCUUUUGGUCCACGAAAAGCUAGGCUCAAAAGCUUAUCGUUUGUUUGGACUUUCAGCUUUCCAGCUUUCCAUUGUAACAUGCUUUUCAGAGCUUUUGGUCCACGAAAAGUUAGGCUCGAAAGCUUAUCAUUUAUUUGGUCUUUCAGCUUCUAGGAGUGAGAAGCUGGCUGAAAGCCCAAACAAACAGGGUUUAUCCCGUUUGACCGUGCCUCAAACUCGCAUUGGCGCCUUUUCCAGCCACAUCGCCGUCUCCUAGCGAGCACGGCGGUAGGAGUGCCUCGCCUCGUCGAAGAAGCUCGUGGGAUCGAUGGAGUUUGCUCGCCGGAGGAGUGGGCCCCGCCGGAGGACCUCGCGCAGCUGGCGGAGCUCUAGCUUGCCUACAACUCCGCCAUGGCCUCCUGUUCAUUGAAUCCGCCUUCCCCGGUUGUCCUCGCCGCAGCGCCGCCCAAGCCUCUUUGGCGCAACCUCAUCGUCCUCUUCGCCGGAUUAGCUCGGCCCGGCAGAUUGAGUGCCUUGUUGAGGUCGACACGAAGUGCGCCGGCACUCCGACGAGCUCUGCGCCACCGACGUUCUUUUGCUCGGUGUGGUGAUUUCCCCUGUUCUAGCUUGUUUUUCCUUGACGUUCAUUCUGCUGGGCUGCAACGUUUCACCAUGUGCAUAUUGAUUUUCUUCCCGUCGAUGAGUUCUGCGUGAAAUUGGAUUGAGAUUUUACCAUACGUUAAAUAGAUUUGACCUUGUUCCACUCGAUGCCGUCUUCCUUUUUAUUCUAUUUGAGUUCUAAUUAAGCUUUGAUUUGGUGGGUGCGCCAUGCAUGGAUAGAGGAG
rnacentral:lncRNA from 1 species